GAUGAACGCUGGCGGCGUGCCUAAUACAUGCAAGUCGAGCGAACAGACGAGGAGCUUGCUCCUCUGACGUUAGCGGCGGACGGGUGAGUAACACGUGGAUAACCUACCUAUAAGACUGGGAUAACUUCGGGAAGCCGGAGCUAAUACCGGAUAAUAUAUUGAACCGCAUGGUUCAAUAGUGAAAGACGGUUUUGCUGUCACUUAUAGAUGGAUCCGCGCCGCAUUAGCUAGUUGGUAAGGUAACGGCUUACCAAGGCAACGAUGCGUAGCCGACCUGAGAGGGUGAUCGGCUACACUGGAACUGAGACACGGUCCAGACUCCUACGGGAGGCAGCAGUAGGGAAUCUUCCGCAAUGGGCGAAAGCCUGACGGAGCAACGCCGCGUGAGUGAUGAAGGUCUUCGGAUCGUAAAACUCUGUUAUUAGGGAAGAACAAAUGUGUAAGUAACUAUGCACGUCUUGACGGUACCUAAUCAGAAAGCCACGGCUAACUACGUG
rnacentral:rRNA from 1 species